rnacentral:lncRNA from 1 species
GUGGAGCUGCGCGUGGAGGAGUCCAGGCUGCAGCCGAGGGAGCUGAGUAGGGCAAAGUUAGGAGUCGCUGUUUGGAUGGCAAGUUCAGAAGUUGGAACUUGUCUCAGUUUCCCCGCUCCAGAAAUGGGGUUGUGAUAUAAAGACAGGGAUAUGAGUGAAGAAAACACAGAGCCACCCUGGAAAGCAAAGAAUGAGUGGGGAGAUCUGAGAAUCGAUACUGAACAGCUUCAGUACUACGAUGUCAUAAUGGGGCUGUGAGCUCAGCCGAAAGCCCCCCGCCCAGUUUUUUUUGGAAGUGGUCAUAGAAUCUCUCUGGAGAAACAACAUGGAAAUGGAGACCAAAAGAGGGAAGGAGGGAUGCCACCAGAUGACACUGGGAUCCCGGAAGACGGAACACUGUGUGCAACGGGCAAAGAACUUUUCAAAAGGGAUUUCAACCUCUGACCACCUGGAGACAGGCGACUGGCGCUCAUUGUAAAUGCACCGACAUGACAGGGAACAGCUGCUGGGGAGGUGGAGACGGGUGCCGGGAGAGACAGGAAACCCCAGAGGCUUGGAAAUCCAGGAGCCACAGGAAGCAGUGAGCUUUCUGCGGAGCCGGAUCCGGUGGAGCCAAUUCACCAGCAGGUCCCGGCAGCAACUCUUCUACAACAGAUUCCUGCCCGUCCCUGUGCCCCAUCGCCCCCCUGCCGUCAAUCUCCACCUCAAGGGAGCCAGACCAAGCCUUUCUGUGUGUAGCGCACAUCUCUCCUGCGUAGAGCUCACCUAGUGGCUUCCAUAGCUUUUUUUUUUUUUUUUUUGGAGACAGGGUCUUGCCCUGUCACCCAGGCUGGGGUACGGUGGCAUGAUCAUGGCUCACUGCAGCUCCCUCCUGGGCUCAAGUGAUCCUCCUGCCUCAACCAGCUACUCAGGAGGCUGAGGCAGGAGAAUGGCGUGAACCCGGGAGGCGGAGCUUACAGUGAGCUGAGAUCACACGCCACUGCACUCCAGCCUGGGUGACAGAACGAGACUCCGUCUCAAAAAAAAAAAAAAUGUAAUAAUGGGAGCCUCAUAUGUAAUUGUACAUUUUCUAGCAGUAAGAGGAAAUUAAAUUUAAUAAUAUAUUUUACUUCA